rnacentral:rRNA from 1 species
CCUACGGGAGGCAGCAGUGGGGAAUAUUGCACAAUGGGCGCAAGCCUGAGCAGCAAUGCCGCGUGUGUGAAGAAGGCCGCGGGUUGUAAAGCACUUUCAGUAGUGAAGAAAAGCCCGGGGUUAAUACCCCCGGGUCUUGACGUUAGUCUACACAAGAAGCACCGGCUAACUCCGUGCCAGCAGCCGCGGUAAUACGGAGGGUGCGAGCGUUAAUCGGAAUUACUGGGCGUAAAGCGCGCGUAGGCGGUUUGGUAAGUCGGAUGUGAAAUCCCCGGGCUCAACCUGGGAAUUGCAUUCGAUACUGCUUGACUAGAAUGUGAUAGAGGUAAGUGGAAUUCCCCGGUGUAGCGGUGAAAUGCGUAGAUAUCGGGAGGAACAUCAGUGGCGAAGGCGGCUUACUGGAUCAACAUUGACGCUGAGGUGCGAAAGCGUGGGGAGCAAACAGGAUUAGAUACCCUGGUAGUCCACGCCCUAAACGAUGUCAACUAGCCGUUGGGUCCUUAAGGAUUUAGUGGCGCAGCUGACGCGAUAAGUUGACCGCCUGGGGAGUACGGCCGCAAGGUUAAAACUCAAAGGAAUUGACGG